rnacentral:rRNA from 1 species
UUCCUACGGGAGGCUGCAGUGGGGAAUAUUGGACAAUGGGCGCAAGCCUGAUCCAGCAAUGCCGCGUGAGUGAAGAAGGUCUUCGGAUUGUAAAGCUCUUUUGGCGGGGACGAUGAUGACGGUACCCGCAGAAUAAGCCCCGGCUAACUUCGUGCCAGCAGCCGCGGUAAUACGAAGGGGGCUAGCGUUGCUCGGAAUGACUGGGCGUAAAGGGCGCGUAGGCGGAAUGUACAGUCAGACGUGAAAUUCCUGGGCUCAACCUGGGGGCUGCGUUUGAUACGUGCGUUCUUGAGUGAGGAAGAGGGUCGUGGAAUUCCCAGUGUAGAGGUGAAAUUCGUAGAUAUUGGGAAGAACACCGGUGGCGAAGGCGGCGACCUGGUCCUUUACUGACGCUGAGGCGCGAAAGCGUGGGGAGCAAACAGGAUUAGAUACCCUAGUAGUCC